CCUCCUUUCUAAGGAGAACCGAGUGAAACAUUCACUCAUAUUUAAAAACCAAAAGUCAAAUUAUAAAGUUGUAUAUAGUUUUGAGAGACUAAAAGUUUCUCAAAAGAGAAUAUCUCUAAUGGUGGAUCUGGGCCUGUAGCUCAGCUGGUUAGAGCGCACGCCUGAUAAGCGUGAGGUCGAUGGUUCAAGUCCAUUCAGGCCCACCAUUAAAAUUUAUUUGGGGCUAUAGCUCAGCUGGGAGAGCGCCUGUUUUGCACGCAGGAGGUCAGCGGUUCGAUCCCGCUUAGCUCCACCAAUAAUAAAAAAGAGAUCUUUGAAAAGUAGAUAAAAGCGAAGUCGAGGAAAAAAAUAAAAUUUUAUU
rnacentral:tRNA from 1 species